UACGUAGGGUGCAAGCGUUGUCCGGAAUUAUUGGGCGUAAAGAGCUCGUAGGCGGUUUGUCACGUCUGCUGUGAAAACCUGAGGCUUAACCUCGGGCCUGCAGUGGGUACGGGCAGACUAGAGUGCGGUAGGGGAGACUGGAAUUCCUGGUGUAGCGGUGAAAUGCGCAGAUAUCAGGAGGAACACCGGUGGCGAAGGCGGGUCUCUGGGCCGUUACUGACGCUGAGGAGCGAAAGCGUGGGGAGCAAACAGG
rnacentral:rRNA from 1 species